rnacentral:rRNA from 1 species
UACGGGGGGAGCAAGCGUUGUUCGGAUUUACUGGGCGUAAAGGGCGCGUAGGCGGCCACCGCAAGUCGACUGUGAAAUCUCCGGGCUUAACCCGGAAAGGUCAGCCGAUACUGCGGGGCUAGAGUGCAGAAGGGGCAACUGGAAUUCUCGGUGUAGCGGUGGAAUGCGUAGAGAUCGGGAAGAACAUCAGUGGCGAAGGCGGCCUGCUGGGCUGUUGCUGACGCUGAGGCGCGACAGCGUGGGGAGCAAACGGG